rnacentral:rRNA from 1 species
UACGUAGGGUGCGAGCGUUGUCCGGAAUUAUUGGGCGUAAAGGGCUCGUAGGCGGUCUGUUGCGUCAGGAGUGAAAACUCGGGGCUUAACCCCGAGCCUGCUUCCGAUACGGGCAGACUAGAGGUAGGCAGGGGGAGAGCGGAACUCCUGGUGUAGCGGUGGAAAUGCGCAGAUAUCAGGAAGAACACCGGUGGCGAAGGCGGCUCUCUGGGGCCUUACC